GAGGGUAUAGCUCAGUGGUAGAGCACGUACUUAACAUGCACGAGGUCCUGGGUUCGAUCCCCAGUACCUCCA
rnacentral:tRNA from 1 species